AAGGAAUUAGUGCAGUGGUAGCACGUCGUGGAGUCGUUAGGCGCCGCCGAGGGCGUUGAUCCGAAAGCACCAGUUCGAUUCUGGGAUUCUUCA